UUUCACUGGAUCAGAAGACAGUGUCGAACAUAUCGAAGUCAGUCAAACAGCAUAUUGCUCCACAUUAUAUAUAGAUCUACUGACAUUUUAUAGCGAAAGAUAAGGAUAAAUCAUAAGAACUAGCUCUUGAUGUCCAUUUAUUUUGCAUUGCAGCAACUGCUGGUGGCAUGCACUCACAGGACAGUGAAACUAUUGUGGCGUUAUAGAGAUAGGAAAGUGCAUCUAUUACAAAGAGUGCAAAGACACAGAUUAAGCACACAGCCUCAGUGAUUUUUAGUAACACUGCUCUUCAGCUCCUGUUGCAGCGAAGCUGAAGGACGACCAUCAGGUGGAUUCUGGGCCGGCUUGCAUGCCGUCUUCUGCUCACUAACUUCCACUGGAGGAGCUUCAGAGCUGGAGAAGUUUUCAGGGAGAGCAAAGACACCCCGCGACGCAUUCCUCUGGUGUCGACUUGGCCUCUCGGACUUUUUCUCCAUGGAGAUCUUCCUGGAAGAGUGGAUGGAUGAGAUAAGGAGCAGCAGAAGGAGAUGGGAAUGGUGGAGACUUGGAGGUGGUACCAAUAAACUGGGGUAGGUGUCAAGAGCCAAAAGAUAGAAGCAGGAUAUCUUUCUGCCUCUCUCAAAAUUACUUAUGUAGGCAGGCUGGUAUGACCGUGAAAGACGUCGUUCGAUUGGCCCAAUCCCGAUCGCCAUGGAUCGCCAUCCAAGCAAUCUCCCGCCCUCCAUCGGAACUCAUCUGACGUGUGGAACUCAGUGAUCCAAGUUGAGUCAGGAUAUCGGGGAGUGCUGUCCAGGCCGGUACGAGGGCGGAGAAGAUGGAGACCGGGGGGAAGGCGAGGUACGGCGCCGGCGGUCGGAGGGGAGGAGUUGAAUCCAAGAAGAAAUCCGUCUCUCGGUCGGUGAAGGUCGGCCUCCAGUUCCUGGUGGGCCGCAUUGGCCGCUACCUCAAGUAGGACCGCUACGCCCAGCGCGUCGGCGCCCUUCCUCGCCUUAUGAUCAAUACAUGAAGUUUAAUCAUCCACAUGGGGGCAGAUGAAAUAUUUUUCUCAUUAAUGUACUUAAUAUUUUAUGGCCAAUGCUAUUAAGCUAACAAUAUGAAAAUGUGGAUUUUCAAA